rnacentral:rRNA from 1 species
GGUUAAGUUACAAAGGGCGCACGGUGGAUGCCUUGGCACUAGGAGCCGAUGAAGGACGGAACUAAUACCGAUAUGCUUCGGGGAGCUAUAAGUAAGCUUUGAUCCGGAGAUUUCCGAAUGGGGGAACCCAGUACACAUCAGUGUAUUGCCUGCAAGUGAAUACAUAGCUUGUUGGCGGCAGACGCGGGGAACUGAAACAUCUCAGUACCCGCAGGAAGAGAAAGAAAACUCGAUUCCCAUAGUAGCGGCGAGCGAAGUGGGAAGAGCCCAAACCGAGAAGCUUGCUUCUCGGGGUUGUAGGACUGGACAUUGGAGUUACCAAAGUUCGACGUAGUCGAAGUCAGCUGGAAAGCUGCGCCAUAGAAGGUGAAAGCCCUGUAAACGAAACGGCGGACUCUCCGUCCAGGAUCCUGAGUACGGCGGAACACGUGAAAUUCCGUCGGAAUCCGGGAGGACCAUCUCCCAAGGCUAAAUACUCCCUAGUGACCGAUAGUGAACCAGUACCGUGAGGGAAAGGUGAAAAGCACCCCGGAAGGGGAGUGAAACAGUUCCUGAAACCGUGUGCCUACAAUUAGUCAAAGCCCGUUAACGGGUAAUGGCGUGCCUUUUGUAGAAUGAACCGGCGAGUUACGUUUGCCUGCGAGGUUAAGAUGAAAAGUCGGAGCCGGAGCGAAAGCGAGUCUGAACAGGGCGCUUCAGUAGGUAGAUGUAGACCCGAAACCAAGUGACCUACCCAUGACCAGGUUGAAGGUGUGGUGAAACACACUGGAGGACCGAACCCAUGUAUGUUGAAAAAUGCUGGGAUGAGUUGUGGGUAGCGGUGAAAUUCCAAACGAACUUGGAGAUAGCUGGUUCUCUCCGAAAUAGCUUUAGGGUUAGCCUCGGAGGAUGGAUCAUGGAGGUAGAGCACUGUUUGAACUAGGGGCCCGUCAAGGGUUACUGAAUUCAGAUAAACUCCGAAUACCAUUGAUCUUACUCCGGGAGUCAGACAGUGAGCGAUAAGGUCCAUUGUCGAAAGGGGAACAGCCCAGAUCACCAGUUAAGGUCCCUAAAUUUAUGCUAAGUGGAAAAGGAUGUGGCGUUGCACAGACAACUAGGAUGUUGGCUCAGAAGCAGCCACCAUUUAAAGAGUGCGUAAUAGCUCACUAGUCGAGUGGCACUGCGCCGAAAAUAUACCGGGGCUAAGCAUAAUACCGAAACUGUGGGUGCACCCGUCAGGGUGCGCGGUAGGAGAGCGUUCUAAGGGCGUUGAAGGUCGAUCGUGAGGACGGCUG